ensembl:lncRNA
GUUGUGUUCAAAUUCUGGGCUUUUAUUCUUGCCUGUAUGCAUGAUCAGUAAUAUUGUAUCCUGAAUUUGUCAUUGUACUUUAAGCGACAUUAAGCACAUCCACAUGCAAGAAGCGGUGUGGGACGCUGAAGCUUGUUGGUAAGUGCUACAAAUUAAGGAUUACAUACAGAUAAACUAUCUGAAAUCAUUAUUUAAUGAAAGAUUAUAGCAUUAUCCACUUUAGAUUACAGAACAAGCAAUGUUUGCGGUGUUCGUGCAUGGCUUUGACCAACAGAUGUCGCUAGCGUGCUGUCACUCUUGUGUUGUGCAUGUGUCAGUAAGUCUUUUUUUUGUUUUUUGUGGAUGUUAUGGCGGAAACGGGCUUCCAUACAAUAUAGCAGCCUGAUAACAGACAAUAAUGCAUCAGUGGGGAAGUGUUUACAUUGUUUGAAUGCAUUAAAGGGGACAUAACACACAGAGUUUUGCCCAAUCUCAUGUUAAUCUCGUGUACCCAAAAAUGCUGGGUUAAAUACAGCCCAGCGCAGGCUGAAAACAACCCAAUCACUGGGUUAGUCUAUAUUUUACCCAGCGCUUGGCUGUAUUUAACCCAGCAUUUUUUAGAGAGAGUAGUACUGCAUUAUUCACAUCUCCAAAGAGUCUUUAGUUCUUUGGGAAGCUGGAUAUGGUUAUCUUUCCCUCACAACUGAAAACACACUGUGCAGCGCUGCCGAUGACGUUGAUGGACUGCUCUUGCUCUCGCUCCGGUCGAUGUGUCCAGUCUUCCAGGAUAAAUGCCCAUACAAGGAUUUCCACCCUUUAUGACAUCAUACAGGGCCAUGCUUGAAAAAACUUUCUCUAACUUAUAUGAACCCAGAAGGAGUGAUUUUGACAGAAAUACUCCCUUAUACUGUACGUCUAAAUGUUUUUUGAAAAUUUUAGUAACAGUGUAAAAGAGUGAAUUAGUCCUGAAAUGCAUGAAUUAGUCCUCUCCUUUAAAAACAAAGGAAAUGAUUUCCAGCAGAGACUGAAUGUUGUUCUGCCUUUCAGCAUCAAUGAUCAGGAUAUUGACAUGUACAUCGCUUCAAGUUUCUUGGGAGUAUCAUUGCGUCAUAACUGAAACUAGAGGGUUAUUAAAAAAAAAAAAAAAAAAA